UUUUUUCACGAAAUGUUAAAACCCCCGCCCAGCUUAAACGACGGCGUUUUGCGUGUAUAAGGCGUCGUUCUCUUUUAUUUUGAUUAAAACCCUCCCACCGUCUCGAUCAGUUAUCUCCCCCAGCUCUCUCCUCUCUCUGGUCUCGUCUCUCUGAUCUCUCUACGCUCUCUCUCGGCUCUCUCUCUUACUUAAUUUACAACUACGAUCAGAAUUUGUGGUUAAAUGCUACUACGAUCAUUAUGAUUGCAAGUUACUAAUAGAGCCUUGAGAUCAUGGGAGUAGGGCUCUAUUAGAACUGAGAGGACACAGCGGUAUAGGUAUAUUUCUGCAACGUCUAAAGACUUCAAUUUGUGUUGUGAUCGGGUAUUGAUAAGGUCCAGAUGCAUAAUCACAUCACAAAGUUAUGGGAAAGGGAGACAACAGUGCUAAGACGACAAGUGCAGGACUUGCAAGAGAGUCACAGGUAAUUGCGGAGGCAACUAAGGAUGUCACCGAUGGUGAGAGUUCGGAAAAUGACAUUGAUGGGGAUGAUGAUGGUGAUGGCGAUGAGGAAGAUUGAAAUGAAGCUACCUAGCUAGAUGCAUUAUUGGUAGGGAUGCUGCUUUUGUUAAAACAUUGUUUUUUGCUUUUAAUUGUUCAGUUGUAAUGUAUAUGAUUGUUGGCUUUUGUUGGCUUUUGGCUGAUUGUUCAGCUGUAACAUUUAUGUCAUACUGAAUUUUAUAACUGUUCUUUUGUAAAUAUAUGAAUGCUUGUUGGCUUUUAAAUUAUGUCGUACUGAAUUUUAAUGGAUAUGAUUCUUGAUUUUGGGUUUGAAA